rnacentral:rRNA from 1 species
GACGGAGGGGGCUAGCGUUGUUCGGAAUUACUGGGCGUAAAGAGCGCGUAGGCGGUCUGGUAAGUUGGAAGUGAAAUCCCGGGGCUUAACCUCGGAAUUGCUUUCAAAACUGCCAGACUAGAGGAUAGUAGGGGAUGAUGGAAUUCCUAGUGUAGAGGUGAAAUUCUUAGAUAUUAGGAGGAACACCGGAGGCGAAGGCGAUCAUCUGGGCUAUUACUGACGCUGAGGCGCGAAAGCGUGGGGAGCAAACAGG